rnacentral:rRNA from 1 species
UACGAAGGGUGCAAGCGUUGCUCGGAAUUAUUGGGCGUAAAGGGCUCGUAGGCGGUUCGUCGCGUCGGGAGUGAAAACACUGGGCUUAACUCAGUGCUUGCUUCCGAUACGGGCAGACUAGAGGUAUUCAGGGGAGAACGGAAUUCCUGGUGUAGCGGUGAAAUGCGCAGAUAUCAGGAGGAACACCGGUGGCGAAGGCGGUUCUCUGGGAAUGUCCUGACGCUGAGGAGCGAAAGUGUGGGGAGCGAACAGG